rnacentral:pre_miRNA from 1 species
GAAAGUCUGUUGUUGUAAACAUCCCCGACUGGAAGCUGUAAGAUUCAACUAAGCUUUCAGUCAGAUGUUUGCUGCUACCGGCUAUUC